GACGAACCGUGCGAACGUUGUUAGGAAUCACUGGGCUUAAAGGGUGCGUAGGCGGGUUGUCCAGUCUGGGGUGAAAUCCCACGGCUCAACCGUGGAAUUGCCUCAUAUACUGACGACCUCGAGGGAGGUAGGGGCGAGCGGAACUGUGGGUGGAGCGGUGAAAUGCGUUGAUAUCCACAGGAACUCCGGUGGCGAAGGCGGCUCGCUGGACCUCUUCUGGCGCUGAGGCACGAAAGCUAGGGGAGCAAACGGG
rnacentral:rRNA from 1 species